ACUCGACUCCAUGAAGUCGGAAUCGCUAGUAAUCGUGGAUCAGAAUGCUACGGUGAAUACGUUCCCGGGCCUUGUACACACCGCCCGUCACACCAUGGGAGUGGGCGGCAAAAGAAGUAGGCAGCUUAACCUACGGGGGGGCGCUUACCACUUUGUGGUUCAUGACUGGGGUGAAGUCGUAACAAGGUUACCGUAGGGG
rnacentral:rRNA from 1 species